rnacentral:rRNA from 1 species
CAGGCCUAACACAUGCAAGUCGAACGGUAACAGGAUGUGCUUGCACAUCGCUGACGAGUGGCGGACGGGUGAGUAAUGCUUGGGAACUUGCCUUUGCGAGGGGGAUAACAGUUGGAAACGACUGCUAAUACCGCAUAAUGUCUACGGACCAAACGGGGCUUAGGCUCCGGCGCAGAGAGAGGCCCAAGUGAGAUUAGCUAGUUGGUGAGGUAAAGGCUCACCAAGGCGACGAUCUCUAGCUGUUCUGAGAGGAAGAUCAGCCACACUGGGACUGAGACACGGCCCAGACUCCUACGGGAGGCAGCAGUGGGGAAUAUUGCACAAUGGGGGGAACCCUGAUGCAGCCAUGCCGCGUGUGUGAAGAAGGCCUUCGGGUUGUAAAGCGCUUUCAGUUGUGAGGAAAAGUGAGUAGUUAAUACCUGCUCACCGUGACGUUAACAACAGAAGAAGCACCGGCUAACUCCGUGCCAGCAGCCGCGGUAAUACGGAGGGUGCGAGCGUUAAUCGGAAUUACUGGGCGUAAAGCGCACGCAGGCGGUUUGUUAAGCUAGAUGUGAAAGCCCCGGGCUCAACCUGGGAUGGUCAUUUAGAACUGGCAGACUAGAGUCUUGGAGAGGGGAGUGGAAUUCCAGGUGUAGCGGUGAAAUGCGUAGAUAUCUGGAGGAACAUCAGUGGCGAAGGCGACUCCCUGGCCAAAGACUGACGCUCAUGUGCGAGAGUGUGGGUAGCGAACAGGAUUAGAUACCCUGGUAGUCCACACCGUAAACGCUGUCUACUAGCUGUUUGUGACUUUAAGUCGUGAGUAGCGAAGCUAACGCGAUAAGUAGACCGCCUGGGGAGUCGGCCGCAAGGUUAAAAC